UGGUCUGGUUGCACUGGACCAGCGGGCACCGGGAGAAAAUUCAGUGGACCCUGGCCCUCUAGGGCCCCACCAGCCCAAACCCUCUGUUUAUCCUGUCAGGAAAUAUGCUUGUGGCAGCUACAGGCAGCAGCAUGUCUCGGCUCUGAGGCAUAAAUUGGGGAGUGGGGUGCGGAACAUGGUUCAAAGAGAAGAGGAAUGACUGCAGCCUGAGGGAAAGAUCACAAUUGGCCUUGUCCGUGCUGUCUGACUGUCACCUUAGCCCUGGUCUAUGUAACUUAAUCAACGAGAGUGCACGUCGGUGAAUGUAGCUAAUAUGUCAAAUCAUACCUGUCUCAACAGAUAUUCUACACCGGUGAAGAUAAAUGCCCUCAGACUCCAUCUGUCUGUCCCCCUCACCUUGGUGAAAGGUGUUUCAGGGCUGCCUAUUCAAUGCUUGCAAAUGCAUUCCUUGUGGAAGCCAGGUACAAACAUGAGCACAAGGAAAGGGAAAGCAAUUAUCAUUAGUAAAAGCCGCUGCCAUAA